GGGGAAUAUUGGACAAUGGGGGGAACCCUGAUCCAGCCAUGCCGCGUGUGUGAAGAAGGCCUUAUGGUUGUAAAGCACUUUAAGCGAGGAGGAGGCUCAUUUGGUUAAUACCCAAGAUGAGUGGACGUUACUCGCAGAAUAAGCACCGGCUAACUCUGUGCCAGCAGCCGCGGUAAUACAGAGGGUGCGAGCGUUAAUCGGAUUUACUGGGCGUAAAGCGUGCGCAGGCGGUUUUGUAAGACAGGCGUGAAAUCCCCGGGCUCAACCUGGGAACUGCGCUUGUGACUGCAAGACGAGAGUUCGGCAGAGGGGGGUGGAAUUCCACGUGUAGCAGUGAAAUGCGUAGAGAUGUGGAGGAACACCAAUGGCGAAGGCAGCCCCCUGGGUCGAUACUGACGCUCAUGCACGAAAGCGUGGGGAGCAAACA
rnacentral:rRNA from 1 species